CGUCAAGUCCUCAUGGCCCUUAUGGGUAGGGCUUCACACGUAAUACAAUGGCGCAUACAAAGGGCUGCAAACCCGCGAGGGGGAGCCAAUCCCAAAAAGUGCGUCGUAGUCCGGAUUGUUCUCUGCAACUCGAGAGCAUGAAGUCGGAAUCGCUAGUAAUCGCGGAUCAGCAUGUCGCGGUGAAUACGUUCCCGGGUCUU
rnacentral:rRNA from 1 species